CCUACGGGAGGCAGCAGUGGGGAAUAUUGCACAAUGGGCGAAAGCCUGAUGCAGCAACGCCGCGUGAGCGAUGAAGGCCUUCGGGUCGUAAAGCUCUGUCCUCAAGGAAGAUAAUGACGGUACUUGAGGAGGAAGCCCCGGCUAACUACGUGCCAGCAUCCGCGGUAAUACGUCGGGGGCUAGCGUUAUCCGGAAUUACUGGGCGUAAAGGGUGCGUAGGUGGGUUCUUAAGUCAGAGGUGAAAGGGUACGGCUCAACCGUAGUAAGCCUUUGAAACUGGGAAACUUGAGUGUAGGAGAGGAGAGUGGAAUUCCUAGUGUAGCGGUGAAAUGCGUAGAUAUUAGGAGGAACACCAGUUGCGAAGGCGGCACUCUGGACUGUAACUGACACUGAGGCACGAAAGCGUGGGGAGCAAACAGGAUUAGAUACCCCUGUAGUC
rnacentral:rRNA from 1 species